rnacentral:rRNA from 1 species
GAUCCUGGCUCAGGACGAACGCUGGCGGCGUGCCUAAUACAUGCAAGUCGAGCGGAGUUGAUGAGGUGCUUGCACCUCUGAUGCUUAGCGGCGGACGGGUGAGUAACACGUAGGUAACCUGCCCAUAAGACCGGGAUAACAUUCGGAAACGAAUGCUAAUACCGGAUACGCAAUUUUCUCGCAUGAAGGAAUUGGGAAAGGCGGAGCAAUCUGUCACUUAUGGAUGGACCUGCGGCGCAUUAGCUAGUUGGUGAGGUAACGGCUCACCAAGGCGACGAUGCGUAGCCGACCUGAGAGGGUGAUCGGCCACACUGGGACUGAGACACGGCCCAGACUCCUACGGGAGGCAGCAGUAGGGAAUCUUCCGCAAUGGGCGAAAGCCUGACGGAGCAACGCCGCGUGAGUGAAGAAGGUUUUCGGAUCGUAAAGCUCUGUUGCCAGGGAAGAACG